ACCGGCAAACGGGUGAGUAACACACUAGUAACCUACCUCUAAGUUGAGAAUAGCCCAGAGAAAUCUGGAUUAAUGCUCGAUAGUCAUAGAGAGACAUAUGUCAUUCUAUGUAAAGAUUUAUCGCUUAGAGAGGGGCUUAUGGCAGAUUAGCUAGUUGGUAAGGUAAUGGCUUACCAAGGCUCCGAUCUGUAGCAGGCGUGAGAGCGUGACCUGCCUCACUGGGACUGAGACACUGCCCAGACUUC
rnacentral:rRNA from 1 species